rnacentral:rRNA from 1 species
GGUAGCCGGCUUGAGAGGGUGAACGGCCACAAGGGGACUGAGACACGGCCCUUACUCCUACGGGAGGCAGCAGUGGGGAAUAUUGGACAAUGGACCAAAAGUCUGAUCCAGCAAUUCUGUGUGCACGAUGAAGUUUUUCGGAAUGUAAAGUGCUUUCAGUUGGGAAGAAGAAAGUGACGGUACCAACAGAAGAAGUGACGGCUAAAUACGUGCCAGCAGCCGCGGUAAUACGUAUGUCACAAGCGUUAUCCGGAUUUAUUGGGCGUAAAGCGCGUCUAGGCGGUUAAUUAAGUCUGAUGUGAAAAUGCGGAGCUCAACUCCGUAUUGCGUUGGAAACUGGUUAACUAGAGUACUGGAGAGGUAAGCGGAACUACAAGUGUAGAGGUGAAAUUCGUAGAUAUUUGUAGGAAUGCCGAUGGGGAAGCCAGCUUACUGGACAGAUACUGACGCUAAAGCGCGAAAGCGUGGGUAGCAAACAGGAUUAGAUACCCUGGUAGUCCACGCUGUAAACGAUGAUUACUAGGUGUUGGGGGUCGAACCCUCAGCGCCCAAGCUAACGCGAUAAGUAAU